rnacentral:rRNA from 1 species
AUUGAACGCUGGCGGCAGGCCUAACACAUGCAAGUCGAGCGGAUGAAAGGGGCUUGCUCCUGGAUUCAGCGGCGGACGGGUGAGUAAUACGCAGGAAUCUACCUAGUAGUGGGGGAUAACGUUUCGAAAGGGACGCUAAUACCGCAUACGUUCUGAGGAAGAAAGCAGGGGAUCGUAAGACCUUGCGCUAUUAGAUGAGCUUGCGUCCGAUUAGCUAGUUGGUGGGGUAAAGGCCUACCAAGGCGACGAUCGGUAACUGGUCUGAGAGGAUGAUCAGUCACACUGGAACUGAGACACGGUCCAGACUCCUACGGGAGGCAGCAGUGGGGAAUAUUGGACAAUGGGGGCAACCCUGAUCCAGCCAUGCCGCGUGUGUGAAGAAGGCC